rnacentral:rRNA from 1 species
CCCUUGUAGUACUGGGACUCUAACCAUAGGCCAUGAAUCUGGUCUUGGGACACUGUCAGGUGGGCAGUUUGACUGGGGCGGUCGCCUCCCAAAAGGUAACGGAGGCGCUCAAAGGUUCUCUCAGUACGGUCGGAAAUCGUACGUAGAGUGUAAAGGCAAAAGAGAGCUUGAUUGCAAGACAUACAGGUCGAGCAAGGAUGAAAAUCGGACUUAGUGAUCCGGUGGUUCUGCGUGGAAGGGCCAUCGCUCAACGGAUAAAAGCUACCCUGGGGAUAACAGGCUUAUCUCCCCCAAGAGUCCACAUCGACGGGGAGGUUUGGCACCUCGAUGUCGGCUCAUCACAUCCUGGGGCUGUAGUAGGUCCCAAGGGUUGGGCUGUUCGCCCAUUAAAGUGGUACGCGAGCUGGGUUCAGAACGUCGUGAGACAGUUCGGUCCCUAUCCGUCGCAGGCGUAGGAAAUUUGAGAAGACCUGUCCUUAGUACGAGAGGACCGGGAUGGACGUACCUCUGGUGUACCAGUUGUUCUGCCAAGGGCAUGGCUGGGUAGCUAUGUACGGAAUGGAUAAGCGCUGAAAGCAUCUAAGCGCGAAGCCAACU